rnacentral:rRNA from 1 species
UACGUAUGGUGCAAGCGUUAUCCGGAAUUACUGGGUGUAAAGGGAGCGUAGACGGUAUAGCAAGUCUGAAGUGAAAUGCAGGGGCUCAACCCCUGAACUGCUUUGGAAACUGCCAAACUAGAGUGUCGGAGAGGUAAGUGGAAUUCCUGGUGUAGCGGUGAAAUGCGUAGAUAUUAGGAGGAACACCGGUGGCGAAGGCGGCUUACUGGACGACAACUGACGUUGAGGCUCGAAAGCGUGGGGAGCAAAC